rnacentral:rRNA from 1 species
AGCGAACGCUGGCGGCAGGCUUAACACAUGCAGGUCGAGCGGGCAUCCUUGUGGUGUCAGCGGCAGACGGGUGAGUAACGCGUGGGAACGUGCCCUUCGGUUCGGAAUAACUCAGGGAAACUUGAGCUAAUACCGGAUACGUGCGAGAGCAGAAAGGUUUAUCUGCCGAAGGAUCGGCCCGCGUCUGAUUAGCUAGUUGGUGAGGUUAUGGCUCACCAAGGCGACGAUCAGUAGCUGGUCUGAGAGGAUGAUCAGCCACACUGGGACUGAGACACGGCCCAGACUCCUACGGGAGGCAGCAGUGGGGAAUAUUGGACGAUGGGGGCAACCCUGAUCCAGCCAUGCCGCGUGAGUGAUGACGGCCUUAGGGUUGUAAAGCUCUUUUCUCCGGGACGAUAAUGACGGUACCGGAGGAAUAAGCCCCGGCUAACUUCGUG